CAUCCUUUGCGAAUUAUACGAACCUUCAACUAGCAAGACGUUUCGCGAUGAAAUUCGUGAUUUUAUUUUUCAAUUAAUCCAAAAUCGUCUGACUUUCACCGCAUGUGGAUUUUACGAUUUAGGUCAUUCAUUUUUAUAUAGUGCAAUUGGUUCGAUUACUACUUAUC